AAGCGUCUAGAAUGGGAAGUUUAAAUCACAUCUCUGCCAUGUAUCAGGUUGUCCCUGGGGCAGUGGCAGUCUCUCUUGCCAUAUUCUCCUAUGUCCAACACACAGCAUGAGAUCUUCAGGAAAGCCCUGCUGGGGAG